NNNNNNNNNNNNNNNNNNNNNNNNNNNNNNNNNNGCAGGCCCCGAGGGGCGCUCGCCAGCCUCGGGGGCCCGCGGGGCGCUAGGCUCGGCCGGCACUUCCCCUGCAGGACCCACGCCGACUCUUUCCACGACCCCGGGGGUGGGAAGCUGGGUUUCCGCGUCGCUAGGCAGGAAACUGGAAGCCCAGAGGCUAGGGGGUUUGCGUCGGGUCACACAUCUGUUCUCUGGGAGUCCCCAGUGCAGCGCUGUCCCCGAGCUUGUCCCCGAGCUGGUCCCCGAGCCAGAUCCCCUCCAGCCCCUGGCGCUUGCAGGGAAAAACCGCCCCUAACCAGCGCUCAUCGGGGUCCACUCUGACCGUGUGUGUUCUCCCCACCCCCAGUGAGGGGCUGCCCCCAGGCGACCUCGGUGCGCUGGGGACCGGGCGCUGGGAGUCCAGAGCGGGCACAACAUAGGUAAUUACACCUUGAGCAGGGCUGGGCCGGAAACAAACAGGGGCCAGACACAAGGGGGUGUGCGGUCUGGAGGCCACCCCAGGAGGUGACAUGCAGGCAGUGAGGGGAGGCUGUGGAGGCACCCAAGGUGCAGGAGGGACCCCCCCCCCCCACAACCCCCAGGCAGGAAAGACUUGGAGGAGGCCAGGGAGCAGAAGCCAGCAGAGCCAGGAAAGGAGAUGCCCUCCUGCACUACUGAUUCACCAGCUGGAGCCUGGAGGAAGAGGGCCCUGCGGAGGAGAGGUCCUGGCCGGGGCAGACCCUGAGCUCGAGAGAUGCGUGUCCAGGUCAGUGCUGGGGGGGGGGGCACGCAGUGGGGCCUUGCUGCGUUUGGCCCACUCCUGUCUGAAAAGUGGUGUGCCCUCGGAAGGGACAGGAGGAUUCUGGCUACGCCUCAGAUGGGGCCAGGUGGCUGCAGGGAACACACACGACCUUUGGGGAGCAGAGCCAGAGCCAGAGGGCCUGGGAUUGACAGAAGUUGGGAGGUUGUCAGUCUUUAGCUGAAGGCGCUGGCCUUGCUCCCUGUCCAGGCCCGGGAUGAGCCCAGGAAAGGAGGAAGGUGGACGGUGUCCAAGUGGGUUCCUCUUCUGCUCAGCGCAGAGAUGGCCAGGGCCCGCAGGUGGCCUGGGAGUGCCCGUUGCCCCAAAGAAGGCUGGCGGGGCCCUGGGCAGCUCCUCUCUGAGCCUGAGCAGAUGGCAGUAAACGGAGGGGCAGGUGAUGGUGGCCUCUCUUCCUUCUGGAAGCCAGAGUAGGUGAAUGGGUGGGGGUGGCCUGCAGCUUUCUGGGGCGCUGCCUGGCCAGGGAGCCGUGUUUGGGCCAUAAUUAUUUUAUGAUCCUGUCACUUCUCCUGGGAACGAGCACUUACAACCUGGAGUUUUCCAGCGGUGGGGCCAGGGUUAGGGAGGUAUUGUGGUUUUCCAAGGCCACUAGCUCUGUCCUAGGUUCUUCCCAGUCCCGGGGCUAAAUUCCCUCCCCUGGCUCUCCUCCAGGACGCCGAGACUCCUGCUCCAAGGGGCGCAACGUGGAGGGGCGGGGGCGACUUGGGGAGGGCUGCGGUCGGAGCCCCGGGUGGUGCGUGGAAGGGAACCCCUCCCGGGGUCUCCAGCUCCCCAGCCAGUGGCCCCCGUGUCAUGCGGGGCCAGGUCCAAGUACGGCUGCCCGCUGGGUGAUCGCGGCUCCGGGGGUCCGCGCUCCCAGCUGUGGAGCAGCACCCGGAGCUGGGCGGGUCGCGUCCGCCCCCGCGGCGGGUGCGGGAGUCCGGCAGGUGCGGGCGCAGCUGGAAGGUCGGUCCGUGCGCGCCCUCUGCCGCCCGGCCGCGCCCGACCAGCCUCGGGGACGGUGCCCAGGGCCGGCUUUCCUUACGACAGUCUCUCCGCGCCAGAAGACGAGUGGGGUCCGCUUUUUCACGCUCAUUUGCAACUCAGCGUUUCCACCGGAGACUCCCGCUAAGCGCGUAUCCAUGGCCUUGCUCUUCCCACGACCUGACUCUUUUUUUUUUUUUUUAAGUCGUCAUUGUUAACAAUAAAAUGCCCAUCGCCCUUGUCCAAGGAGGUGGGCUCGGACAACUGUGUGCCCCGGUGUUACCACCACCCUCGUGAGGGCUCCAACGUUCCCCGCACCCCGGGAAGUUCCCUACCCCCCUCCCAGCCAGCUGUCCCUCACCUUCUGACCUAGCAGUCAGCGCUGCCUGUCCCCGAACUUCGAACUCUGCAGACAGGGUCGCCCGUUUCUUCAGCUGCAGGAAGUGCUUUUCGGGUUGAUCUAGGGACCUGCUUUGCCACCACCAGGUGACACGUGUCCGGGUGGUGUCGCAUUUUAGGCACGUCCAUUGGUAUUUGAAGGAAUUUUAUGGAGUUAUAUGGAAGAUUAUCUCCAUAUUUUGGCUAUUAAACGACCAGCACAAUGGGCAGCACCUUCUCUGUUUCUCAUAACACAUUAAAGAUGAUUUUCUUUCCUGGGUUUUAAUCAUGAUCUAGAAAAAAGCCAAAACACCCUGAGAAACACGGAGGAUGCUGUAACAAACAUCUAGCUCCUGGACCCGACCAUGUCAGCAGUUUUCCGGUUUUGAUUCAGGUUAGAAAAACAACAGUCUGCAUCCUGGGGGCUCCCCAGGUCUGUCCUGGCCCGUCCGGAGCCCAGGUUCAGGGUGCCGGCUGUGUUCUGGCCUCUGUCUGUAUCAGUGAACGGUCUUGCACGAUCGGAUCUUGUGUGCUUUUCAAUAUUCAUGGAUAAGUGUCACAGCACAACAUCAGUCCUUCGAUUCACUUUUUCCGCCCACGUUCCGGCCUGUUUAUCCUGGUUGAUGCGGGCGAGCCGACGCCAUGCACGUGAGCUGCCGGCCGGGUGGGCGCUGAAUGAGCAGACCCUCACUUAGCCAUUCCUCUACCGAUGGACACGUAGCUUGCUUGCAAGUUUUUCGACACGCAGCAGUGUUGCAAGGAACAUUCCGGUCACUAGCACUGUGUAAGUCACGGUCGUCCCCAGCAGCUUGUGUCCGCACCACCCGUGACUGUGUUAGGAACCCGGACUCCCGGCCCCCACCCAAGUCUGCUAUGCCAGACUCUGUGUUUUAACAAAUUCAGAGGAUCUGUAUGCACAUUCAGUUUCUGGUUUUUCCUUUUUUGCGUCAUUUUAUUUAAUUUUUCAAAUUACCGUGUAGUAACCCUGAGUCAUUCACUUUUUUAUUGUGAUAAGAUACGCAUAAUAGAAAAGUUGCAUUUUAGCCAUUUUUAAGUGGACGGCUCAGGGGCGAGUUGCACUCACACCCUGUGGAACCAUCGCCAGCAACCCUGUCCAGACUUCGUUGUCUUGCCAAACUGAAACUCUGUCCCCGUUAAAUGCUAAACCCCGUUGUCCCUGCCCCGGCCCCUGGCCCCCACCAUUCAACUUUCUAAGUCUGUGAAUUCGACUCCUCCAGGAUUC
rnacentral:lncRNA from 1 species